rnacentral:rRNA from 1 species
UACGGGAGGCAGCAGGGGGGAAUAUUGCACAAUGGGCGCAAGCCUGAUGCAGCCAUGCCGCGUGUAUGAAGAAGGCCUUAGGGUUGUAAAGUACUUUCAUCGGGGAGGAAAAAACAAAACUAAUAAUUUUAUUUCUUGACGUUACCCGAAAAAGAAGCACCGGCUAACUCCGUGCCAGCAGCCGCGGUAAUACGGAGGGUGCUAGCGUUAAUCAGAAUUACUGGGCGUAAAGAGCACGUAGGUGGUUUUUUUAAGUUCAGAUGUGAAAUCCCUGGGCUUAACCUAGGAACUGCAUUUUGAAACUGAAAUACUAGAGUAUCGUAGAGGGAGGUAGAAUUCUAGGUGUAGCGGUGAAAUGCGUAGAUAUCUGGAGGAAUACCUGUGGCGAAAGCGGCCUCCUAAACGAAUACUGACACUGAGGGUGCGAAAGCGUGGGGAGCGAAACAGGGAUUAGAUACC